CCCUUAUUCUGCGCCGCGCGUGACGUGAUGAUUGUCACCUCACCUCGGAGUCACCGUGAGAUUUGUCACCUUAUUCCCGUAGUCGAUGUGGGUAAAGUGACGGAGGUUCAUUCGUAGGUGAGUGACUGAGUGAGCUCAUGUGUCAAACUAGCUCGGUUUGUUUUGUUUUGCUCGCGUUUCCGAAUUUUAAAAUUAGUUUUUAAAUCAACAACUGCGAAUUUCGGUUCGGAAAAGACCACAAUCUAAUUUUACGGUGUUAGCAAGUCGUCCAGGCCGGAUUUGGAGCCGACAUUUGCAGCGGAUGAGCUGGUAAGCUGACUGAUUGGAGCAGAAAAACUAACCGCAAAUCAAAUGCCCAAGCCGGCGGAUGAGUCCACCAACCAGUCAUCAUAAAACCCUUAAAACGGAUUUAAUUUAGCUUAUCCAAUAAGUUAUUUAGUGCCUGACUAGCCUGAAGAAAAACGUCACGCUGCUGGGGAGACCUAUUAAUUUAACCGUUUUUUUAUAUUUUCGAAUGGCAGCAGCGCUUGCCGUAUUAAAUUGUAGUUUGUUAAAUUUAAUGUUUAGAAGAUCAUUUGAAAAAUAUAAACUUAUUCAAUUAAAAACUUA